UGUAGCGCCCGAGCCUCCGCCCCUUGCUGGCGCGUUCUUGGUGCGGUGGUCUUUGCUGCUCAGAUCACGUGGCCCCGCCCCUGCUCACGCGCCCAUUGCACAGGUGAAGCUACUGCGGCACAGAGAGGGCGAGUGGCUUCUUCCUUGGAGGGUGCACAGCAGUAAAAGGACGGAGCUGGAAAUGGACCCUGGGCCGCCCAGAGCCUCUGUCUCCUUGACCUGUGACCUCUGGCCGUGUAUCCUGGACUUGUCAUAGCAGUGGCAGAGGUCCAAGGGACCUGAAAUAACUUAAGACCUCUUCAAACCUAGCUCAGAAUCAGCAUGGUCUUCUG